rnacentral:lncRNA from 1 species
UCCAGCAUUAGAAUAUUUUGGCGUUUGGGAAUUUGGAGUUCUCCAUCUACACAGAACAGCAGGCAGGACUAAAAAUGACAUGGCCACGUGAGAGAUUACAACCAAGUAUAGGCACUGCAAAUAGCAAUAAGAAUAAAAUCAUAUAAGUAAUUAACUUUGAAGAAUAAAUAGAAUAAUAAGAGGUCUAGUGUUAGGAAUUAAGAAGCAACUGAUGCAACGAACGGGGAACGAUUAAUAAUGGGAUCCGUUAAAUCACCGUUAUGAUUUGAUUCUGGACAAUGCAUCAGUUAGUGAGCACACACAAAAUGAAUCUAGCCAAGUAUCACAUUCAAAACCAUGCUAUGUUAUACCGUCGUACAAACAGUAAGCCGUGAGGAUGACAAAUGACAAGGACAGGCAUCUUAUUUUUGAGAACAAGGACAUAUAUCUUCAGUGUAUUGAAUUAUUGAUACUUUGCUAUGUUAUACCGUAGUACAAUGAGAUGAAAAGAUGCACAUAUUAUGGAUGGGGUAUGCCUCAAACUAGCAACAUUCUAGACUAACUAACAGCAACUCCAACCGAAGCCACUGCAAUUCUGGAGGAAAUGCAUCGAAAACAGACUCCAACAUGACCAGGAGGAUGUGACUGUAAGACGGCAUGGUUAACAGAAAUGGAAGUGACAAGACUUGUCAAAAGUAGAGGAAGUAUCAGACAACAAUUUUUUUAGCUGCCUAGCAGAAACCUCAUGUUAUUUGGUAAGAAAAUGAGGACUUGGCACUAUUUCUACAAUAUCAAGUUCUUCCCUCCUUGUCAUGCUGGAGCAAAGCCUAGUAGCAGAUUACUAUAACUUGUGAAUUGAAAGCUAACAAAAAGUAUAAUUGUCCUAACAUAUGAGCAAAGCUCCAGGGAAACUUAGUUUUCAAUAUUAAAGCUAUAACCGAACAUUUGCUAGGGCGAAUUGAAACAAAUGUGCAUGAUUGGAUUUGAAGCCUGCACGGGUAGGUUUUACUCAAUUUCUUAAAGCCACGAAUUGCUAGUACAAAUUAUGUUCAAAUGCUAGAUAUCUAAAUACAGUACAGGGAAUGAACUGUUCCAGAAAUUGAAUAUGUCAGGAGUAGUGUCGAGGAUAUACCCCGCGGUAUGACGCGGCCGGAAGUAUGACCCGGCCGGACUUGGCGCUUCACCGUGACCCGCCGGAGGACUGGCGACUCACGGGUCUGGCGGCUCACUGUCAGACGACUCACGAGCCUGACGACUCACGGAUGACCCCGACGGCAGGUCAGAUAGAAGACUAGGCCCAAGGCCCAGAAGGCCGGCUCAUGUUAUGGGCGCAUGUCGACUCCGAGUCGUUUCCAACCUCGCGCUGGCCGUACCGGUUCUGCCUCCGCAUCGCUCCAACAGCCGCCGCUGGUACGUACAUAGCAAAGGAAAAGAAGACCACAAUUUGGAGAAGGACACGGACGAAAACCAAUUGAUCCAGCCACGACCCGGAAGCGGACGUCUCCGUAGACCCGGGCUCGACCAUUUGACUCGCCUCCGCCUCUGCCGCGAGCCGCUCGCCGCAACAGUCGUGCCAAGCUGGCCUUGGCCUGCGCCUCGACCGCAAGUCUGCACAUGAGCCACCACCACUGGCGUGUCACCUCACCCGCGUCUGCGCCACACUCGCUGAAGAGCCGCUUCGGCCCUGAGUCGCCUCUGGCACAUGCGCCGGCCGGCUCUCCGCCUUUGCCGCUUCUGCUGCAUGACCACAAGUCACUUCCUCCGCUCGCCCUCGCCACGGCCGCGGCUGAAGCCUCGCCUCCGGUUUAUAUGCCUCCUGCGUGCGUCAUCGGCAUCUGCAGUCCAACAUACGUUGACACUGGAGGCCGUGCAAGCAUCUGUACCAUGUCAGGCUACCGGAAAAUCCAUCCAACACCAGCAUCCUUGUUUAUUUGACAAGAAUAUCAGGUGCUAUUUGUCUAAACUUUUACUGGUAUAAUUAGGUAUCAUCCAAAGCUUUUUUCAUGGUAUGUUAUUGUAUACAUAGGUCAAUUACCUCGUGAUUAAAGUAUGAUCCGAUCCUGGCGCGCUGUCAAUGGAGGUCGCGUUUAUAUCCGCACUAUAUCAAAAGGCUUAACAGAUGUGCGCAAAUCGCCGCCGCAGCGGUCCGGUCUACAUCAACUCACCGGGACCACGCGUGUAACCGGUUCAUUCGACCAUACCCGCGCCGGCUCAACCGCCCGCGCCCACGGCCGACCCGUCUGUCCGCGCGGCUUACAAUGCCGCGGCCGACUCACGCGUCCGCCCUGUCCUUUAAAUAUCAUGGUUGACUCCGAUAUGUCUAUCAACAAAUCAGAGCCGCUCCUACGGUCCUGAGCCGCCAGGGGCGUAUUCAGCCGUCUCUGUCGCGAUAAACGGAUCAUCUGUCGUCCAAACAAAUCAGGUGAUAUCCAUCCAAGUUUGUUUAUUAGAACAUGUUGGUUUUUGUCAAAAACAAGUUUAUCUUUGCCUUGGUCUGCAAUAUUGUUGAUGCAUGGCAAUUAUUUAUGACAAAAAGUGAUAUUAUACUGCGGUGACUGAGGCACGCCAACAUCUUUUGGCACGGGUGGCCGUCGUUACUCAACGGGCUCCCGCACCGGCUUCAAGCACCGUGGCCGUCUCUCGCGACCGCGCCGGCUUACAACGCCGUGGCCGUCUCUCGCGACCCCUCCGGCUUACAACAAGGAGGACAACUUGUCCGUCCGCACCGGCUUACAACGUCGCGGCCGGUUCAUCUGUCUGUGCCGCCUCAGAUGUUGCGGUCAUCUUUACCAUCCGACUCCUGCGGCCUGGUCUAAAUCAACACAUCGGGCCGCACCUGUCUGCAUAAGCUGUUUAAUUGAGUAUGAGCAGGUCACUACUUGGGAAGCCUGGUUUUUCUUCCAACAAAUUGGAGGCAAAUUAUCAUAUACUAUCAACCGCCGUCGGCACCAGAUGGCUCAAUGGACAUGCGCACAAGUCACCGUCACUACAGUUUGGUUGAACUUCAAUCAGCCAGUCGGAAGGAACCAUUGGCCGAGUUGCUGACACGGCUCAUACGGGAUCAUUUAUAACCCGCCGCAGUCACCUCAACCUUCUGUGGAUACACAUCGUGCUAUCAACACCAAUGAUAUACAAGUUAUGCCGGUUUAUAUCACGGUUAAAUAUGGAGAAUCUCAAGCCAACUCCUCGAGUCAUCUUGAGACUCGGGGGCUACACUGACAUGACUCGGGAACCCCGGGUCGUUGGAGGGAAUGAUAACCCGGUUCCGGAGGCUGCUACCAUAUUGACGAAAAUUUAAAGGCCGUCAGAAAAUUGCCAGUUCAAAAUAAAGAUUCCGGUUUAAAAUCCGGUUCAAGAGAUAUCUCUCUCCUGCAAAGUUUUGAAGCUUUCAAAUCCGGUUCAAACAUCCGGCUCAAGGUAAAUUUAUAUAUUAUAAAGCUUUGAAGCUCUCAAUAUCCGUUUUACAAAUUUCCGGUUCAAAAAGAGGUUGUCUCUCGCAAAGUUCGAGUUCUCAGGAAAAAUUAAAGGGACCAAAGAGAGUCUAUUACAAAGCACAACUCAAAUAUAGGUACCGUGCUUAAUGACCAUUGGGAGCUGAUCGUAUUCGAAUUUAGCUUAACCCUUUUGGUGUGACCCUGAUCGUAUUCGAAUCAGAGUCGUUAAAUAUUCUCAUGAUCACUAGGGGGCUUCCUGUUCAAACAUAGGUCGUAUUCGAACCAAAGAGAACAUAGUUGUCGAUACCCUUUUGAUCGGCACACUGCCGAGCACACUAGGGGGCUUCUUGAUCGUAUUCGAAUCAUAGCUCAACCCCUUUUGAGAACCGACGUGGAUCGUAUUUGAAUCAGCGUCGUUAAACAACUCUCAAGGUCAUUUGGGGGCUUCCUGUUCAAACAUAGGUCGUAUUCGAACCAAAGAGAACAUAGCUAUCGGUACCCUCUUGAUCGGCAACGCCAAAGCCACUGGGGGCUAUAUGAUCGUAUUCAAAUCUUAGCUUAACCCCUUUGGGACGGUUUUCUGAUCGUAUUCGAAUCAGAAGCCUCAAAAUUUUUGAAGUCUCUUUUUGCAAACAAUUUUUGGAUUUUAUUUGAAGCUCUUUUUCAUAUGUAAAGUGUAUAUGAGUGGUUGCUAUUUAACCCGGCUUGAUUUGUCGAUGAUAAAUCGCCAGCUUAUGAACAAUCAUCAUCUAUGUGGAAGCAUUGGCUUCUAAGGAUUGGGUUAUCACCCUUACUGCACGGGUCAUGUAAACCGGCAGUACAAAUUCAAUAUCACAGUGGUUAUAUGUGAGAUAUUAUGACCCGCCCUGCGGUAAACCGCCAAGGGUUCUUGUGAUCUACUUGCGUGCAGGAUAAGACUACAUUUGGGUGGUUACCCGCCCUAGUUUUUGACGUUAAGUCGCCAGGGUAUAUGUUGUUUAAACUUUGCAGGACUUACAGAGCUAUGACUUACAUAAAUGAUUAAAUUCAAGCCCAUCAUCAUAGAUGGAAAUUGGUGUCUCAAAAGGGUUAUCAAUUCUUGAUUUUCUCAAAGGCUAUAAGCCGCCGGGUUGUACAAAUUCCGGCUUACAAUGGAGGCGUAUUAAAUCGCCAUCGGCCAAGAGCCGCCGGGUAUUUAAACUCCGGAUUGACUUAUCAACAGAUGAGGUAUUCAAAGUCGCUUUGGCGCACUGGCUAUUAUUUUAUCAAUGGAUAUGAUUUAUUAUACAAUGAAAGGAAUAGUCCCGAGUCGCUGCAGGCUUACGACCCGGCACUUGGGGGCUACAUUAUUCAAAUUGAUAUUAUAUCGAAUAUGCAAGUCCCAUGUUACUGCCAGCAUAUACCAUGGCACUUGGGGGCUAAUGUAAAGACAUUUUUUGCUCAACUUAUUGAAGACCCGACUCAUCACAUUGUAAUGAGCCGGCCCUUGGGGGCUACCAAUUGCUCCUGUCAAAAAUUCAAGGUACACAAGCUUUAAUCCAUUAUAUUGAAAGAUCCACUGCUCAGUUGGUAGAGUACAAAGCUCUUAACCUUGUGGACGUGGGUUCAAGCCCCAUGGUGGAGAUUACAUCAUAUGAUGUUAUUAUCAAUGAAUCAUAUACAAAGUCCGAGCUCAGUAAUAUCUUAUUAAGCCGGCCCUUGGGGGCUACACGUUGCUGCUCAAGUUUACAUGGUUAUAUCUACAAAGUCCCUGCUCAUUAUUGCAUAAUGACCCGGCCGUUGGGGGCUACACUGGUUGAAGUUUUUAAGAGCAUAAGGCAAUUACAAGUCCCAGGUUGCUGCAAGCAUGACAACCCGGCACUUGGGGGCUACAAGUGAUACAUAUAAGGGGGAAAAUCUUCAAAAUUCUCAGUUUGGAGAAGAUCAAGUUGACCCGGUGUUUGCAACAAUCAUGAUCCGGUGUCACCAAAUAAUUAUGACCCGGCGUCAGUAACAGUUAUGACCCGGUGUUAUCAAUAUUUACAAACCGGCAAUUUUGGUUAUGAUAAACCGGCAAGUUUUACCUCUUCAAGCCGGCUGAAAGUCAGAUGAGUAUCUCAAGACCAAUAUCUUUUAAAGCCGGUGCUUUGGAAACCGAUUCAAGUGGAUUGUUUCUUACAAUAUUUCUCUACAAGAGACCAAUGCCAGCAAAUUGACUCUGAAGCUGGCCUAUUGAUCCGGAUUUUCAAAGGAAGUAUCUGGAAUUUUUGCAUUGGCAAAAUUUGAACAUAUCUGCUAAAGAGAUUUGCUAUGAGAUUAUGGGUACAUAUCAAGAAGGAAGAUGACAAGGACUUAAGGAUGAUCAAGUGCCGGCUUACAAAGAAUAUUUAACCCGGAACACAACUUGUCAAAUUUGUUCUUGUGUUUAUAUUGCAGAUUAGUUUAACAUGGAUAAAUCCAAAUUAAACUGGGGGCUAAUGUCGGGGAUAUACCCCGCGGUAUGACCCGGCCGGAAGUAUGACCCGGCCGGACUUGGCGCUUCACCGUGACCCGCCGGAGGACUGUCGACUCACGGGUCUGGCGGCUCACUGUCAGACGACUCACGAGCCUGACGACUCACGGAUGACCCCGACGGCAGGUCAGAUAGAAGACUAGGCCCAAGGCACAGGAGGCCGGCUCAUGUUAUGGCGGGCCGGCUUAAAAGGAAAGGGAUGAUGAAUAUUUCCUUUACGCGGAAGCAAGACCCGGACUUGUAUUCAACUUGUAAGAAAAGAUAGAUUAGCCUUAGUCCUACUAGGACUCCUUAUGUAACCCGCCCCUCCGACUUAUAUAAGGAGGGCGCAGGGCUCCCCAAAGAGGGACGAGCAACAAGAAACAAUCUCUAGGGCUAGACAUCGGGAGCCGGUUCCCGGCGACUCUCCCGUGAUCAUAAUGAGACCUAGCCUCAAACAGCAUGUAGGGUUGUUACCGGAUGAUGUUUCCCGGGGCCCGAAGCUGUCUAAACCCUUGUCUUGUGUUGCGUCUCUCGAUUCCGCCCAACCCCUCUCAAGCUACUACAUAGAUGCGCUGGCCUCACGACUAAGUCCUGACACUAAGGACAUCUGUCGUGACAAUUCCACGACAAGUAGUGCUAAGGGAAGGAGGCCGAGAUAUACCACUUUCCAGGGUUCAUCACUUUUAGAGUGCCAACCGAGCCGUGCCCUGGCCUGAAGCUGCUGCCGAGGCCGACCCAGCAGUGCCCUGGCCGGAGUCUCCAGCCACUCCCGCGCCCUGGCCUGAGCCCGCUGCAGCCGA